rnacentral:tRNA from 2 species
GGAGAGAUGGCUGAGUGGUCGAAAGCGGCAGAUUGCUAAUCUGUUGAUGCCUUUAGGGGUAUCCGAGGGUUCGAAUCCCUCUCUCUCCG